rnacentral:rRNA from 1 species
CGCACGGGUGCGUAACACGUAUGCAACCUACCUUUAACUGGGGAAUAGCUCACCGAAAGGUGAAUUAACACCGCAUAAAAUCACAGAAGGACAUCCUUUAAUGAUUAAAUCUCCGGAGGUUAAAGAUGGGCAUGCGUCCGAUUAGCUAGUUGGCGGGGUAAUAGCCCACCAAGGCAACGAUCGGUAGGGGGUCUGAGAGGAUGAUCCCCCACACUGGUACUGAGACACGGACCAG